rnacentral:rRNA from 1 species
UACGUAGGGGGCAAGCGUUGUCCGGAUUUAUUGGGCGUAAAGGGCGUGUAGGCGGCUUUACAGGUCCGUUGUGAAAACUCGAGGCUCAGCCUCGAGACGCCGGUGGAAACCGUAAAGCUAGAGUCCGGAAGAGGAGAGUGGAAUUCCUGGUGUAGCGGUGAAAUGCGCAGAUAUCAGGAGGAACGCCCGUGGCGAAAGCGGCUCUCUGGGCCGACACUGACACUGAGAGACGAAAGCUAGGGGAGCGAAUGGG